GAGUAAGACGAGGAUCAAAGGCAAAGACAGACCAGACUGCUUUUUGGGCACCCCAACACCUAGACGAGCACUGAGGGAGGAGCUUCCUAGAGUCACGGUGGCACAGCUGGAGUCACCAGUCAUUUCCAGAUGGAGCUAAGAGGAUUGUUGUGAAUAAAUCCAGCUGGAAAAUGUCUGCAGUUGAGGAAGUGUGUGCUGAUGACUGGAAUACUGCACUGUCCCAUGAGUUUGUUCCCUUUGCUGUGUGCUCCAUCCCUUGUUAACUAGUAUGUGAGAGAUUAUGGCACCAAGCAGAAAUAAUGUGGGCCUGAGUUGAAUUAAUUCUCUUCCCUACAUUCCCUUGAACAA
rnacentral:lncRNA from 1 species